GGACCCAUAGCUCAGCGGUAGAGCGUCGGAUUCCAGACCCGAAGGUCAUCCGUUCAAAUCGGGUUGGGUUCA